UUCCCAGAAGUUUACUUAAUAUUCUUUCAUGCAUUCAUAAAAAUAUUAGACUUUCUUCUGUUGCUGUCCUUUACAAUCUCUUCUCAUAUAUAAUGCAAAGAAUCUGAUUGAUUUAUCUUCAUUUUCUGCUUUAUGUCAGAGGCUUUUUGCACACAAGUCUUUCAGAGGACUGUGAUUCUGAAUUGAAAUUCUUUCUGGACAUAUUACGAAAAUGGAAACAAUUGGAAACAAAGAUCUAAACAGGCUGGCCAGUCAGAUUUGACAGCGCAAGAGUGAAAUUUUAAGAGUGCAUCUAAAUUAAGGAAAAUACAGUAAGAAUUGUUUUAUGAUAUAAGAAUGAUUGUGGGACAGACCAGCUACAUCUGAAAUAUUUUAUUACAAAGAAAAUUUAUCACCUUACAGUAGUAUCAAAUUAAAAAAUUACCUUUAUUUGUUAUCUCAUAGUACAAAGAGUGUAGUUUAUCCUUUGUAAAAGCAGAUAAGCAUCAGGGAGAUUUGAUGAAAGCAUGAUAAGCAUUUUAGGUGAUCUUGCACAUAGAAAAAAAAGAUAAUAAAAUGAUAGUAAAUUUGUUAAUUUACAAAAAUGGAAACCCCCAACCUCCCUGUCCCCAAAGAAAAUGCUAUCAUUUGGUAAGGUUGCCUGUAUUCACUUAUUCUUCCUCCAGAGAGUGACAUGCCACUCUAUUUCACUGAAUUAAUGUGAUCACAAUAUAAAGAAUUGAUGUUUAAACUGAUUAAUCAUGUGUGAUAAAGAUGAAUGUGUAAGUCUUACAUAGAAGUUAAUUUUUUAGAAUGUUUUAGCUGGGCAUGAGACAGAUCCUCUAUAGGCGCCUUCUACUUCAAAGAAGCUACUUUGCAGUAUGCUCCAAAGUCAGUGAAAAAUAUGACUGAACACAUAAUGCAAAAAAAAAUGUUACAAUUCCUUCUCAUUAUUUCAUUGAGACUCUUCAACAUCCUCUUCUUUUAAAGCACAGCAUGAAAAGUAAUGAUCUAGAAAUUAGGAAGAUGACAAGAAACAAUUUAACUCUAUAUAGUUACAUAUAAAAGUCUUUUCAAGUCUCUACUCUUUUAUAUUGAUCAAAUAUUGAAACUGCUGAUAUUGAAAUUGAGUAAGAAUAAAUGUGCCUUUCCUCUGCUGUUUUCUUGUAAACUGUGUGUGUGUACAAUGGUGACAACACUUUGCUGUGCUGCCACAAGUUCCUAUCACCGAGUCACCUGUCAAGAAGAUGCUGCGAACUCACACACCCACCAGGGAGGGGCCUGUCCCCCAGGUUGCUGGGGGCAGCAACCCAGUCAGAGAAGAGGAGCCAGACCAAAAUGUGUUUGUAAUGUGCUGACUUUCAUACACACUUUAAAAUCUGUAGAGCAUCUGCAGUCUGGCAAAAAUUAGUGCCAUCAUAGUGUUUCAUAUCAUGGUCAAAGGGAAAAGUAAUGUUAGGUGUCAUUGAGCAUCUAUCAGUGACCUGUUCUUCAUGCUUGAGCGUAUCUGUGUCAGUUGCUCAUGUUGAUUCUUUGAGAUCUAUUGAUAAAAACAAAUGUCAACACACUGUGUCUUCUGGCAGACAGAUGAUGUUGUGCUCUGGCAAUACUCUUUUCAAAUUAAGAAUGGCCAAAGGGUGUAUGUGUUAUUUCCUUACACCAAGAGUUUCUCAUUACUUCUGAUCUAUGUGGAUGCCGUAAAUAGAAGUAACUUUAAUUGUACUGCAGUCCUCCUACUGUGGUGGAAUUCAGAUCUGUUUCAAUGAGCACAUAUAACUUACUGUCAUAAAUUCAGCCUUCUCACUCAUGUAGCUUUGGAAUGUUUGCUCCUCAAAUUCAACACAUUUUCCACCAUUCCUUUUCUAUUAAUGUGUGUAACGUUGAACUUCUAAUGGCAGGAAACUUUAAACAUAUAUAACCAUAUAUCUGUAUCUAUAUAGAUACAUGGUUAUCUAUGGUGUAUCUAUGAAAAGAUUCAAGAUUCCCUCUAUGCCUAAUAUUUGUCAAAUAUCCUUUUUAUGCUAUUUAAU